UAUCCUGCAGCAGCCCACCUCAGUAUCUUCUCGUCUGCCGCUCCACGGCCCUGCUUUGGGACGCCAGUGAAACUUGGAUUUGCAGUACGUUGGGUGUUUCGGGUUGCCAGGCUAUUGCUAGGCGAGACGUCCAGAAGUGUGCGACGUGUAACGUGAUUACCGCAGCGGUGUAAAGACCAACAGAUGAACCAUCAACCUGUGGCCACUUCUGGUCCUCGGAAAACAAACACCACUACUUCCUCUUCCAGUUAUCAAGAUCCCACCUCCUUCUGAUGUCAUUUCCGGUUCCCAGAAUACCAUUCUCUUAAAUUCCAUCAUUUCCCAUCUACUGACUAUAUAAGGGAGCCAUUUUUUUUUUGUUUUCUUCAGUUCCGUUUUGAACUCCUGUCUGUGAAGACCUGUCACUCAAUGGAUCCCCAAAACUUUGUCUUUAUUUUGUCUAUUCUUUUACAACAGGUACAUACAUUUGAACCAAGAGACAUUCAUGAAGCGUGCCUUUACUCUAAAACCCAGGGGACGCUGAGGAG